rnacentral:rRNA from 1 species
GCACAAGCGGUGGAGCAUGUGGUUAAUUCGAUGAUACGCGAGGAACCUUACCUGGGCUCAAAUGUAUGUUGACGUAUUCUGAAAGGGAUACUUCUUCGGACAAUAUACAAGGUGCUGCAUGGUUGUCGUCAGCUCGUGCCGUGAGGUGUCGGGUUAAGUCCCAUAACGAGCGCAACCCCUAUCAUUAGUUGCCAUCAGGUCAAGCUGGGGACUCUAAUGAAACUGCCUACGCAAGUAGUGAGGAAGGUGGGGAUGACGUCAAGUCAUCAUGGCCCUUACGGCCUGGGCUACACACGUGCUACAAUGGUCGGUACAAAGGGUUGCCAAGCCGCGAGGUGGAGCUAAUCCCAUAAAACCGAUCGUAGUCCGGAUCGCAGUCUGCAACUCGACUGCGUGAAGUCGGAAUCGCUAGUAAUCGUGAAUCAGAAUGUCACGGUGAAUACGUUCCCGGGCCUU